CACGUAGGGGGCGAGCGUUGUCCGGAAUUAUUGGGCGUAAAGAGCGUGUAGGCGGCCCGGUAAGUCCGCUGUAAAAGUCAAAGGCUCAACCUUUGAAUGUCAGUGGAUACUGCCGGGCUAGAGUCCGGAAGAGGCGAGUGGAACUCCUGGUGUAGCGGUGGAAUGCGCAGAUAUCAGGAAGAACACCAACGGCGAAGGCAGCUCGCUGGGACGGUACUGACGCUGAGACGCGAAAGCGUGGGGAGCGAACAGG
rnacentral:rRNA from 1 species